UAGAAGAGAUGAUAUCUUGCAGCAUAUCUUAAUACGACGUGAGGGAUAGAUGGCUGGCCGACAACCCCUAGGGGCGUGCUAUGUGCACGCCUGCACACUUCAUCCACACACACCUGUGCACUUGUGAGACGGAGGAUUAAUUACCUCCGUCUACUAAUCACACAAACUCAUUGUAAUUGAACUGAAUGUAAUUGAUGUAACGCAUCAUUUGAACUAAGUUUCAACAACGGAUCUCUUGGCUCUCGCAUCGAUGAAGAACGCAGCGAAAUGCGAUAAGUAAUGUGAAUUGCAGAAUUCAGUGAAUCAUCGAAUCUUUGAACGCAUCUUGCGCUCCUUGGUAUUCCUUGGAGCAUGCCUGUUUGAGUAUCAUGAGCAAAUCUCAAAGUCAAUUCCUUUUGUUAAUUCAAUUGGUUUUGCUUUGGACUUGGAGGUCUUGCAGAUUUCACAGUCUGCUCCUCUUAAAUGCAUUAGCUGGAUCUCAGUAAUUAUGCUUGGUUCCACUCGGCGUGAUAAGUAUCACUCGCUGAGGACACUGUAAAAAAGGUGGCCCAGGAAAAUACUGAUUGAACCGCCUUCUACCGGGUCUAUUAAGUUAGACCAUUGGAACCCCUNAAGUUUGGAUCUCCAAAUCAGGGUAGGACUACCGGCUGAACUUAGCAUAUCAAUAGCGAAGGGAAAA
rnacentral:rRNA from 1 species